rnacentral:rRNA from 1 species
UCCGUAGGUGGAUAAUUAAGUCAGAGGUGAAAUCCUGCAGCUCAACUGUAGAAUUGCCUUUGAUACUGGUUAUCUUGAGUCAUUAUGAAGUGGUUAGAAUGUGUAGUGUAGCGGUGAAAUGCAUAGAUAUUACACAGAAUACCGAUUGCGAAGGCAGAUCACUAAUAAUGUACUGACGCUAAUGGACGAAAGCGUGGGUAGCGAACAGGAUUAGAUACCCUGGUAGUCC